GCGGGAGUAGCUCAGUGGUAGAGCUCUUCGUUGCCAACGAAGAGGUCGCGGGUUCGAGCCCCGUCUCCCGCU
rfam:Deltaproteobacteria bacterium GWA2_45_12 gwa2_scaffold_834, whole genome shotgun sequence.